rnacentral:rRNA from 1 species
CCCGCUGAACUUAAGCAUAUCAAUAAGCGGAGGAAAAGAAACUAACAAGGAUUCCCUUAGUAACUGCGAGUGAAGAGGGAAAAGCUCAAAUUUAAAAUCUGGCAGUUAUUUGCUGUCCGAGUUGUAAAUUGGAGAAGUGUUAUCUGCGCUGGCCUGUGCAUAAGUCUCUUGGAAAAGAGCAUCAUAGAGGGUGACAAUCCCGUCUUUGGCACAGACUACCAGGGCUUUUGUGAUGCGCUCUCAACGAGUCGAGUUGUUUGGGAAUGCAGCUCCAAAUGGGUGGUAAAUUCCAUCUAAAGCUAAAUAUUGGCGAGAGACCGAUAGUGCACAAGUACCGUGAGGGAAAGAUGAAAAGAACUUUGGAAAGAGAGUUAAACAGUACGUGAAAUUGUUGAAAGGGAAACGCUUGAAGUCAGUCAUGUCUCACUGAAAUCAACCUGGCACUUGUCUGGUGUACUUUCUGUGGGACAGGUCAGCAUCAGUUCUGAUUGCUGGAAAAAGGCCUUGGGAAUGUGACAUCUUUUCGAAGAUGUGUUAUAGCCCUCGGACCACAUACAGUGAUUGGGACUGAGGAACUCGAUGUGUGAAAUAACACAUUCAAGGAUGCUGGCAUAAUGGCUUUAAUCGACCCGUCUUGAAACACCG